rnacentral:SRP_RNA from 1 species
GCCAGGCAUGGUGGCGGGUGCCUGUAAUCCCAGCUACCUGGGAGGCUGAGGCAGGAGAAUUGCUUGAACCUGGGAGGUGGAGGGUGCAGUGAGCCGAGAUCAUGCCACUGCACUCCAGCCUGGGUGACAGAGCAAGACUCUGUCUCUA